UACAGAGGGUGCGAGCGUUAAUCGGAAUUACUGGGCGUAAAGUGUGCGCAGGCGGCCUCGCAAGUCAAGUGUGAAAGCCCCGGGCUUAACCUGGGAACUGCGCUUGAAACUACGAGGCUAGAGUGUGGCAGAGGGAGGUGGAAUUCCACGUGUAGCGGUGAAAUGCGUAGAGAUGUGGAGGAACACCGAUGGCGAAGGCAGCCCCCUGGGCUAACACUGACGCUCAGGCACGAAAGCGUGGGGAGCAAACAGG
rnacentral:rRNA from 1 species